AUUGAUUUUAUGCUUGCAUAAAUGAUUUUUGGAUUCGGAGCGAGUGGCGAACUGGUGAGUAACACGUGGGUAACCUGCCCCAAAGCGGGGGAUAACAUUUGGAAACAAGUGCUAAUACCGCAUAAUUAGUUGGAACCGCAUGGUUCCAACUUGGAAGAUGGCUCUGCUAUCACUUUGGGAUGGACCCGCGCCGUAUUAGUUAGUUGGUGAGAUAAAAGCCCACCAAGACGAUGAUACGUAGCCGACCUGAGAGGGUAAUCGGCCACAUUGGGACUGAGACACGGCCCAGACUCCUACGGGGGGCAGCAGUAGGGAAUCUUCCACAAUGGACGAAAGUCUGAUGGAGCAACGCCGCGUGAGUGAUGAAGGUUUUCGGAUCGUAAAACUCUGUUGUUAAAGAAGAACAAGUGUUAGAGUAACUGUUAACACUUUGACGGUAUUUAACCAGAAAGCCACGGCUAACUACGUGCCAGCAGCCGCGGUAAUACGUAGGUGGCAAGCGUUGUCCGGAUUUAUUGGGCGUAAAGCGAGCGCAGGCGGUUUUGUAAGUCUGCUGUGAAAGCCCUCAGCUCAACUGAGGAAGUGCAGUGGAAACUACAAAACUUGAGUACAGAAGAGGAAAGUGGAACUCCAUGUGUAGCGGUGAAAUGCGUAGAUAUAUGGAAGAACACCAGUGGCGAAGGCGGCUUUCUGGUCUGUUACUGACGCUGAGGCUCGAAAGCAUGGGUAGCGAACAGGAUUAGAUACCCUGGUAGUCCAUGCCGUAAACGAUGAAUACUAGGUGUUGGAGGGUUUCCGCCCUUCAGUGCCGCAGCUAACGCAUUAAGUAUUCCGCCUGGGGAGUACGACCGCAAGGUUGAAACUCAAAGGAAUUGACGGGGGCCCGCACAAGUGGUGGAGCAUGUGGUUUAAUUCGAUGCUACGCGAAGAACCUUACCAGCUCUUGACAUCUUCUGCCAACCCAAGAGAUUGGGCGUUCCCUUCGGGGACAGAAUGACAGGUGGUGCAUGGUUGUCGUCAGCUCGUGUCGUGAGAUGUUGGGUUAAGUCCCGCAACGAGCGCAACCCUUAUUAUUAGUUGCCAGCAUUUAGUUGGGCACUCUAGUGAGACUGCCGGUGAUAAA
rnacentral:rRNA from 1 species